rnacentral:rRNA from 1 species
UACGGGGGGGGCAAGCGUUGUUCGGAAUUACUGGGCGUAAAGGGCUCGUAGGCGGCCAACUAAGUCACACGUGAAAUCCCUCGGCUCAACCGGGGAACUGCGUGUGAGACUGGAUGGCUUGAGUUUGGGAGAGGAAUGCGGAAUUCCAGGUGUAGCGGUGAAAUGCGUAGAUAUCUGGAGGAACACCGGUGGCGAAGGCGGCAUCCUGGACCAACACUGACACUGAGGAGCGAAAGCCAGGGGAGCAAACGGG